GACAGAGGGUGCGAACGUUGUUCGGAAUCACUGGGCGUAAAGCGCACGUAGGCGGCUUUUUAAGUCAGGGGUGAAAUCCUGGAGCUCAACUCCAGAACUGCCUUUGAUACUGAGAGGCUUGAGUCCGGGAGAGGUGAGUGGAACUGCGAGUGUAGAGGUGAAAUUCGUAGAUAUUCGCAAGAACACCAGUGGCGAAGGCGGCUCACUGGCCCGGUACUGACGCUGAGGUGCGAAAGCGUGGGGAGCAAACAGG
rnacentral:rRNA from 1 species